CGCACAUACUUUCCUUAUCAUUCGUUAAUUUAUUUAUCUCUUCGUACAUGUUUCCCUUUUCGUCAGUUAGUUUAUUUAUUUCUAUACCAAUUUUUUCUCUCUCUUCAUUUAACUUGUUUAUUUUUUCACACAUGUUUUCUUUUUCGUCAGUCAAUUUUUUUUAUCUCUUGCCACAUAUUUCGCCUUUCGUCAGUUAAUUUAUUUAUUUCUAUACCAAAUUUUUCUUUUUCAUCAGUCAAUUUUUUUAUCUCUUGCCACAUAUUUCCUUUUUCAUCAGUUAAUUUAUUUAUUUCUAUACCAAAUUUUUCUUUUUCAUCAGUCAAUUUUUUUAUCUCUUGCCACAUAUUUCCUUUUUCAUCAGUCAAUUUUUUUAUUUCUUUGUAUAUACUUUCCUUAUCAUUCGUCAAUUUAUUUAUCUCUUCGUACAUGUUUCCCCUUUCGUCAGUCAAUUUUUUUAUCUCUUCGUACAUGUUUCCCCUUUCGUCCGUUAGUUUAUUUAUUUCUAUACCAAUUUUUUCUCUCUCUUCAUUUAACUUGUUUAUUUUUUCGCAUAUACUUUCCCUUUCAUUAUUUAAUAGGCGCUGCUCUAUUUCCAAUGCAAUAACUGCAUCAUUGUACUGCCUACUUUUUAUAUUUUCUAGUUCUGUUUCUUUUUCUGUUAAUAUAUUGUUUAAGUUAUUUAUUUCUGUUUGAUAAUUUGUAAUAGUGUCACAAUUAUUUUUUUCUAAUUUUUUUUUUAAGAUCAUUAAGUUCAUUUUCUAAACAAAUUAAAUUAUUUUCUUUUGUUUCUAUAUUUUCUUCUCGUGUUUUAAUUAAAUUUAAUUUAUUCGUAAGGAUAUUUUCCUUUUCUUCAAGCUCUUUCAUUUUGUUAUCAUAAUAUAUUUUUUUUUUUAUCAGUAGUAAUAUCUAACAUACUUGCUGUAUUUUCCUUUUCUUUAAUAUCAUUCACUAUCUGUUCAUAUUCUUUUUCUUUUUCAUUAAUUUUUUCAUUUAAUUUAUUUAUUGUAUCUUUUUUUUUUUUUUUAAAUUCUUUUAAUUCUUCUAAUACACUUUCUUUUGACAUUACUUCGUUAUUAACACUUUCUAAACAUUCUUGUUUAUCUUUUAUUUCAUUUUUUAAUUUAUCUAAACCUUUUUUUAAAUCAAUAAUUUCGUUUAAUAAUUGUUCCUUUUCUUCAUUCUUAUUCAUAGAAUCUUUUUUCAAAUUGUUUAAUUCAUUUUCCUUUUGUAUAAGAAAACUUUCUUUAUCAUUCACUUUUUUUUUCCCUUGCAGUAAUAAUUAUUUCCUUUUCAUUCAAAGCAUGAUCCCUUUUUUCUAAACGUUUUAAAAAUUCAUUAACAUUAUUUUCUUUUUCUUUCAGUUCUUUAUUAUGUAUAUUAUUUAAUUUGUUGUUUUUAUCAUUAUUUUUUUUUUUCUUUUUCCAAUUCUUUGUUUAAUUCUUCUAUUUUUAUUUCAGCAUUAUUUAAUUUUGUUGAUAAAAAAGUUAUUGAUUUUAAUGUUUCU
ensembl:lncRNA